UGGUAACAAUGGCUUAUUUCCAUAUGUUGUUUCAUCUGAGCCACCGGAGAAGAGAGCUACAAGUAACCUACACUGAUUUAAGAGAAAACAAACAAUAUUUGAGUGCCCGAAGAAGUUUGGUGCAAAGUAUCAGUAUACGAAUUUUAUAUGAGCGCCGACAUAAUUCCGCGACCAGACUCAAGAACAUUUAUUUUUUGUGCAGCAUCUCGGUGCGUACAAGAAGUGCCUUUUUUCUAAGUGGUAGACUGCUGAUCUGUCUGUCUUACAGAAAAUGAUAAAUCAGUUUGCAAAUGUUAUAUGAGUGCCAACAAAACUCAGUGUAAGAAUACACACCGGGCUCCCUUUUACUUACCUUGUUCCUCAGACUAAAGCAUACUUACCUGGUUCCUGGGUAUGCUCAUCCUUGCUCCAGAGACCAAGCAUACUUACCUGAUACCUGUGUAUGCUCUCCUUGCUCCUGAAACCAAAGCAUUCUUACCUGAUACCUGUGUAUGCUCUCCUUGCUCCUGAAACCAAAGCAUUCUUACCUGAUACUUAUGUCUGCUCACCUUGUUCCUGAGACCAAGCAUACUUACCAUGCACCCAUGUAUGCUCAUCUGGUUCCUGAAAGUAUCCCGUGAUAAAAAGUUUACGUAGGAGACGAGCAGGCAAACAGCGCUACAUUUAAAUACAGUCUUUUUCAUUUUUUUUUGCAUAUUUAUAAACUCUUGAAUGACUAUUUGUAACUCUGUUCCUUUUUUACAGCAAUUUCAUAUAUAUAUAUUAAUACAUGAUACAUGAAAGAAAACAAGUUUGGGAGGUUAAUUAAUUUAGCUGUAAAUGAAUUGCACUGUACUUCUAAUUCUAAUUAAAAGUUAUAUUUAUUUAUGUAGAUAAAUAAAUUACAUCUUCUGAUCAUUUUUUAUGUACAGUUUAAAAGCAAAUUAAAAAAAAAAAAGAAAAAAAAAUAAGAAAUUCUGCGUAAAGAUCACAGGAAUGCUGUAUUUCAAUAGUGACGUAAGUAGCAGAAAAGAAAACCUAUCAAAACCUGCCACAUUUUUUAGCCAACUCCCAUUAGAGGGCGGGCCUAUAAAUAUAUAAAUUCAGUAUCAUUUUGGAUCCUGGCUUUUUCUUUUGCAGGGUUCAGUGGUAACAACGGCUUAUUUCCAUAUGUUGUUUCAUCUGAGCCACCGGAGAAGAGAGCUACAAGUAACCUACACUGAUUUAAGAGAAAACAAACAAUAUUUGAGUGCCCGAAGAAGUUUGGUGCAAAGUAUCAGUAUACGAAUUUUAUAUGAGCGCCGACAUAACUCCGUGACCAGACUCAAGAACAUUUAUUUUUUGUGCAGCAUCUCGGUGCGGACAAGAAGUGCCUUUUUUCUAAGUGGUAGACUGCUGAUCUGUCUGUCUUACAGAAAAUGAUAAAUCAGUUUGCAGUUAUUUACCUUGUUCCUCAGACUAAAGCAUACUUACCUGGUUUCUGUGUAUGCUCACCUUGCGCCUGAGUCCAAGCAUACUUACCUUGAUACAUGUGUAUGCUAAUCCUUGCUCCGGAGACCAAGCAUACUUACCUUGAUACAUGUGUAUGCUAAUCCUUGCUCCGGAGACCAAGCAUACUUACCUUGAUACAUGUGUUUGCUAAUCCUUGCUCCGGAGACCAAGCAUACUUACCUUGAUACCCGUGUAUGCUCACCUGGUUCCUGAAAGUCAAGCAUACUAAUCUGAUACCGGUGUAUGCUCACCUUGCUCCUGAAACCAAAGCAUACUUACCUGAUACCUGUGUAUGCUCUCCUUGUUCCUGAAACCAAGCAUACUUACCUUGCACCCACGUAUGCUCACCUUGCUCCUGAAACCAAAUCAUACUUACCGGAUACCUAUGUAUGCUCACCUUGUUCCUGAGACCCAGCAUACUUACCAUGCACCCACGUAUGCUCACCUGGUUCCUGAAAGUAUCCCGUGAUGAAAAGUUGACGAGACAAGUACGAGACAAGCAGGCAAACGGGGCUACAUUUUAAUAGCAAACUACUAAAAGAAAUACGGUGUAAAGAUCACAGGAAUGUCGCAUUUCAGGAGUGUUCAAACUACUAAAAGAAAUACGGUGUAAAGAUCACAGGAAUGUUCAAACUACUAAAAAAGAAUUCUACAUAAAGACCUCAGGAAUACAGUAUCCCAAGAGCUUUCAAAAGAAAAAAAAAGAAGAAAUUCUGCGUAAAGAUCACAGGAAUGCAGUAUUUCAAUAGUGACGGUUCAGAGGUAACAACGGCUUAUUUUCGUAUGAUGUUUCAUCUGGGCCACCGGAGAAGAGAACUACAAGUAACCUACACUGAUUUAAGAGAAAACAAACAAUAUUUGAGUGCCCGAAGAAGUUUGGUGCAAAGUAUCAGUAUACGAAUUUUAUAUGAGCGCCGACAUAACUCCGUGACAAGACUCAAGAUCAUUUAUUUUUUGUGCAGCAUCUCGGUGCAGACAAGAAGUGCCUUUUUUCUAAGUGGUAGACUGCUGAUCUGUCUGUCUUACAGAAAAUGAUAAAUCAGUUUGCAGUUAUUUACCUUGUUCCUCAGAAUAAAGCAUACUUACCUGGUUCCUGUGUAUGCUCACCUUGCGCCUGAGUCCAAGCAUACUAACCUUGAUACAUGUGUAUGCUAAUCCUUGCUCCGGAGACCAAGCAUACUUACCUUGAUACCCGUGUAUGCUCACCUGGUUCCUGAAAGUCAAGCAUAAUAAUCUGAUACCGAUGUAUGCUCACCUUGCUCCUGAAACCAAAGCAUACUUACCUGAUACCUGUGUAUGCUUUCCUUGUUCCUAAAACCAAGCAUACUUACCUUGCACCCACAUAUAUUCACCUUGCUCCUGAGAAGCAUACUUACCUGAUACCUGUGUAUGCUCUCCUUGUUCCUGAAACCAAGCAUACUUACCUUGCACCCACGUAUGCUCACCUUGCUCCUGAAACCAAAUCAUACUUACCUGAUACUUAUGUAUGCUCACCUUGUUCCUGAGACCCAGCAUACUUACCAUGCACCCACGGUUCCUGAAAGUAUCCCGUGAUGAAAAGUUGACGUACGAGACGAGCAAUUUCAAUAAUUGAGUUUAAUAGCAAAUUACUAAAAGAAAUACGGUGUAAAGAUCACAGGAAUGUCGCAUUUCAAGAGUGUUCAAACUACUAAAAAAGAAUUCUACAUAAAGACCUCAGGAAUACAGUAUCCCAAGAGCUUUUUGGUAAGAAUGAAUUCUAUCGUAUAAUGUUUAAUCUGAGCCAUUGUAGAAGAGAUCAGCAAUAACCAUACACCUAUACAAGAAAUAACGAGUGGCAUUUGAGUGGCCAAAGAUGACUGAUGCCAAAUACAGGCACAAAACCCUUUAUCUCCAAAAUGCUUGGUACCAGAAAAGUGCUUUCAAUUUCACCUCCGAAUAUGGGCGUUAUUGAGUACAGCUAUAAAACAGCACGUAUGACGUGCAGGAAACAUGCCCUGAGGAAGCCCGGUCUCCUUGAUGACGUGGGGGUGAAACACGUGUUGGCGAUUUGAAAGCCGACUCACGUGACAUCCAUGCUGGCUGGUGGAGCUUGUUGCUGAAUUGAGCAGCGUUACAGAGAAGCGGAGCAGAAAAAUACUCAAUGCAAUACAGUGUUUCAAUGGAAAUUCUGUCGGGAUAAAGCAGGAAAUUCCCGGAGGACAACGGAUGACCAUUCACUCUUUUAAGUAAAGGAGCGGAUAGAGAGAUGUCUAAAAGAUGACUGGAUGAUUCAACAAGCUUGCAGGCAAACUGAGGCCACAGUUAAAAGGUGCAGUUGACAGAGGGGUACUAUAACAACAAGCAAGUAUCCUCCUGUACCUCUUUCUAUCUAAAUCUGGCAUGUGUGUUUAUUAUGUUGCCUGCUACUAUACGUUGCUCUAACCUGACUGCUCUCUAUACGUAUGCUCCAGCUUUCGCUUGAGUGACUUAACAUAUUAACAGCUGUUUUCCCUGCUACUUGCUUACAACUGCAUACCGCUUGUAAUUGCUAAUAAGACAACGCUUUGCUCAAUGCCUCGACAUUAGACACUUAACCUGUUGGUGUCAUACUUCUCCAUGGGACUCUAUACCGCUCAAAAUGGUAUCAGUCUGGAGGACUGAAAAUAAAUUUAUGUCCCUUUAAGGAGUAAAAGAUCACUGUAUAUCAAUGUCUGCUUGAUAUGUAAACGCAUGUGAAUGUCUAUAACUGUGCUUUUCUAUCUUGUCAUGCCUUAUGUUACCUAUGCAUAACAUCUAGUCAUUUUGGGUGACAAGUACUGGAUUUUGGAAUGAAAGUUGUUCACUUUAAGGAAAUCUCAGUUUUCACUAAAACCUUAAUUAGGUCUGAUGUAUACCUGUGAACAUCCCUUCCACUUACAGCACAUUGUUGGAUAUAGGCUACCUGCUUUACCUGUGAAUUAACAUUUCUAUGCUCCAUUUCUCCAUCUAGCAUAGGUUGUCACAUGGGCCGGCCCACUUUUGGAGUGCAAUAUUUGUUACUUUAGACUUAAGGUUUAGUCACUUGUUAUAGUAUUUUGGUUAUGAUAUGUAUAACUUAUGACUUUGCCCAUGUGGAUCUGGCUUUGAACGGACCCGCGAGCUGCACAAUAAAACCACUUUUUUGAUAGUAAA